ACCCUUUGCUUGCCUUUGUUGGGUUUUCCCUGGUCCUAGAUCGGGGCAGGGGCGCCGAGUGAGAGAGAGUAGAAGGAUGGUGUAGCUGCGCCCCGGAGAGAAUGUGAUCCCGAGGGAGGCUGAGAAGGAGAAGCGGAGGAAGGGAAGCAGUGGACAGAGCAUCGCCAGCCCGGAUCAUAGUGUCACAGAAAUGACUCUAGAUUCUUGAAGGCAAUAUCAAGGAAGUAAAAAACCUGGAAGAUCAUAUCAAUACUGAAUUAGAAAUGAGUUGAGUAUAGGGCAGUGACAGAACAUGUCUUUCAUCUGAAGAUAAAUCCAGGUCUGGACAUCAGAAAUUUGUCACCUUUUCAAAGAUGUGAUUCCAUACUGCCAAGAGGAUGGAUGAAAUAGUCCAUUUCAACUGCUGCACUGGCUUCCCUCAUAGCAUUCAAGACAGCUUUGUUAUUCCUUGAGGAAAAUCCACCUCAAUGGCCUACCUUCAUAUCUUACAACUGAUUGGACAGCUAAAUGACAUAGAGGAUAGGGCACUGCAAUGGCAUCAAGAAAACCCAAAUUUUAAUUUUGCCUUUGUCAUUAACUUGCUCUGGGAUCCUUGGAUCCUCGAUGCUUGAGUCUUUCUGAAUAAAAUUAUAAUUCAACCUACCA